AUAAAAAUAGCUUUUUGCUUGUUCUAGUAAAAGGGUAAACUAUGGAAAUAAGUUAUAUGAAUGGUCCUUUAUUUGGUCUAUGGCAGCAAUUUACAGCCUGUACAUCAUCAACAAAUCAGGGGGUCUCAUCUUCUACAAGGAUUAUGGAUUGCAAGGAAGAAUGGACACGAAUGAUAGCUUGAGAUUGGCCAGUUUGUGGCAUUCAAUGCACGCAAUCUCUCAGCAAAUCUCCCCCAUUCAGGGAUGCUCUGGUAUUGAACUUCUUGAAACAGAUACAUUUGAUCUCCAUUGCUUUCAGUCUCUUACUGGUAUGUUCUUAAUUCAGAUUGGAUAGAGCUGACAAUUUUUAUUACAGUUCUAGAAAUCUGUGUAGCUUUUGACGGACACCAUCUGUUUAUGUUAAUUGGGUGGUUAUGAAUCUUCUACAAAGAAUCUGGUUGAGGACUGAGGGAGACAAUUUAGCCUCUUGCAACAACUUGCAAGAACUUCUUUGGAUAAGGCAAAAAGUAGAGCUUGGAAGUGUUGAAUAUGAUCCCCGGAGCCAUCUUUGUUUCUUUAAUCAUAUUACAUAUCAAGACCUUGUUCUGCUUCUCAUACAUAGUUGUUAAAUUAAAAGUCAUCGCUUCUUGCGCUUAGGCACAUUUUUUCAGGCGAGGUGAGGCAAUUGCGCUUUAAUUCUCUAGGUGAUGGUUCCGGCGCACAUUCCGUUAAGGAAGCAACUUUUUAUUGUUAUGCGCUACCUCCAUGGUAAAAUUUAAAGAAUUAAACUGUCUACCAUUAUACUCAUCAACUACUGUCGUUAAGGAAGCUACUUUUUAUUGUUAUGCGCUACCUCCAUGUUGUUAAGGUAGAUUUUGGUGUUGCGAGAGUAAAGGCCCAGACUGGUGUCAUGACAGCCGAAACGGGGACAUAUCGAUGGAUGGCUCCUGAGAUUAUUGAACACAAACCCUAUGAUCAUAAGGCUGAUGUUUUCAGUUUUGGGGUUGUGUUAUGGGAGUUACUAACUGGGAAGCUUGCAUUGCAUAUGAGUACUUAACCCCCCUCCAGGCAGCUGUUUGGAAAGUAUUUGACUAAGUAUCUGAUGAAGAAGCGGAUGGUGACACGGAUAUGAUGUACAAUUAUUACAUUUUAUAUGUUAGGUAGUUUUAUGACGUGUUUGUGAAUUGUGACUUAAAACAAACCCGGAUUGUAACGUUUAUGCUUAUGUUUUUUUUUAAAGGCAAC